rnacentral:SRP_RNA from 1 species
GCGGGGUGCAGUGGCUCGUGCCUGUAGUCCCAGCUACUCAGGAGGCUGAGGUGGAGGAUCGCUUGAGCCCAGGAGUUCUGGGCUGUAGUGCGCUAUGCCAAUCGGGUGUCCACACUAAGUUUGGCAUCAAUACGGUGACCUCUUGGGAGCGGGGGACCACCAGGUUGCCUAAGGAGGGGUGAACCGGCCCAGGUUGGAAAUGGAGCAGGUCAAAACUCCCGUGCUGAUCAGUAGUGGGAUCAUGCCUGUGAAUAGCCACUGCACUCCAGCCUGGGCAACAUAGCGAGACCCCAUCUCU